rnacentral:misc_RNA from 1 species
CAAAUAAGUUUUUAUCCGCAUUCAAGAACCUACAAACCCAACGAACUUGUAUCUUUAAACAUAUUUUAAGUGGUGUAUGCUAACAUAUCUAAUCCCAGUCCUUUGAUGUCAUCUUUGGAUGGAAGGACAAAUGACGGAUUUGUGUGUGAUUUCUAUAAGCAUUUCAAAUUCACUCUAAAAUAAAAUUUUUGUCAAUAUUCAUUAACCUAGCCAACAUCCAUGAAAUAAUAAAAAGACUGUUAUAACAAAAAUCAAAUCUAAUGAUUUUAAGUUCCUUCACACAAACCCAUGGUAGUUUAAAAUCCCAAUCCAUCUAUUUACAACUUCUAAUUAACUUAGAAUUAGCAAAAUUCCUAAUAUG